rnacentral:lncRNA from 1 species
AUUCUCCAUAAUAUUGUAUCGGGUACAUUUGUAGAACAAUCUGGUCCCGACCUUUUCCAAUUGUCAAUGUGCCUCGGCCCCAAUCGUUCUUAGCUUUGGCUUGAUAAAGCCAAGGUCUGUCCAAUAAAAUGGGAUACGAUAAUGUAGAACUCUGUAAUCGAAAUACAAUAUAAUCGAUUAUGUAUGUCAAUGCUGCGAUU